GUGCACCAGGCGCGAAACUUUACAAUGUGCGAAAGCACGAUAAGGGAACUCUGAGUGCCUCCUAAGGAGGCUGUUCAGGUGUCUAAAAGCACCUGGAGUAAGGGCUGGGUAAGACCGGUGCCAGCCGCCGCGGUAACACCGGCAGCCCAGGUGGUAGCCACUUUUAUUGGGUCUAAAGCGCCCGUAGCCGGUUGAGUAAGUUCCUUGGGAAAUUUGGCUGCUCAACAGUCAAGCUUCCAGGGAAUACUGCUCGACUUGGGGACUGGGAGAGGUCAGAGGUACUCCAGGGGUAGGGGUGAAAUCCAUUAAUCCCUGGGGGACCACCGGUAGCGAAGGCGUCUGACCAGACCAGGUCCGACGGUGAGGGACGAAGGCUAGGGUCGCGAACCGGAUUAGAUA
rnacentral:rRNA from 1 species